rnacentral:rRNA from 1 species
GACGAACGCUGGCGGCGUGCUUAACACAUGCAAGUCGAACGGAAAGGCCCUGCUUUUGUGGGGUGCUCGAGUGGCGAACGGGUGAGUAACACGUGAGUAACCUGCCCUUGACUUUGGGAUAACUUCAGGAAACUGGGGCUAAUACCGGAUAGGAGCUCCUGCUGCAUGGUGGGGGUUGGAAAGUUUCGGCGGUUGGGGAUGGACUCGCGGCUUAUCAGCUUGUUGGUGGGGUAGUGGCUUACCAAGGCUUUGACGGGUAGCCGGCCUGAGAGGGUGACCGGCCACAUUGGGACUGAGAUACGGCCCAGACGCCUACGGGAGGCAGCAGGGGGGAAUAUUGCACAAUGGGCGGAAGCCUGAUGCAGCAACGCCGCGUGCGGGAUGCCGGCCUUCGGGUUGUAAACCGAUUUCGCCUGUGACGAAGCGUGAGUGACGGUAAUGGGUAAAGAAGCACCGGCUAACUACGUG